rnacentral:tRNA from 1 species
GGUUGUGGCUCAGUUGUAAAGCGCUUGCCUAGCACGUGUGAGGCACUGGGUUCAAUCUCCAGCACCA